GAGGGGCCAGAGGGGGUCAGGCUGGUCCUCCUCCCCUUAUCAGGAGACACCAUGCUGGCUGCAACGUCAGAAGAGAAAGUGAAUCAAUUAACUGAGGUCACUGCACACAUGAAUUAGACCUAAAGGACAUCAAGAGAGACUCACACAGAAGGCAUCCGAGAGUGGAGUCAGAGGAGUCACUGGGAUACCACUGGGGGUCGUGGCUGGGUGAUGGGAUCCAUCCUCGGGACGGGCUGACGGAGGGGGACGAGGCCAACAGUUUGGUGCUGUCAUUGUUGCUCAGUUUGGCUGGAGACAGAGCUGCUUCCUCACCUGCAGCAGGUUCUCCAGGGGUCAGCGGCUCCUCAGGGGGACCAGGUAAAGAGAUGUCCAGGAGUGAGGCUACACUAGGUGGAGACAGGAGUGAGUCUCCACCUCCUGAUGCUCCAGGAGACGGUGGAGGCAAACCAUUCUGUAGAGAAAACAGCAACAAGUUACAACUCCACAAUGUCUGCGUUCCUGACCUGCGGGACAUUUUGCUGGAGUAGUGUAGAGUCUGGUUCGACAUCAGGAGAAGGUGAGGUGUUGAGUGGAUCGCUGUUUUCCGUAGUAGAAGGAUCAAGACUUGGACAGGGGCUGCCAGGAAUGAUGCCGGCAGACUUGGCUGCCAGGUCAAUGGCACCUGAGAGAAAGACAAACAAUUUAAAAUGUCCCCAAGACCCGUGAAGACGACAGAAAUGGAGAAGUAAACAAUGUGAUUUAAUUAAUUUGGGCUAUUUUUAAGACAUCAUUUGAAAGAUAUCAAUUAACCUGAAAAACAGUAAUUAUAAAUUAUAAAGUAUUAUAAAUUACUAAAGAAUUAUUGAAACAUACUGGAGAGCUGGCUGGCUGCUGCAGACCCGGUUGCUGCAGUGGAAACUUUGGACAUGAGGGGACGGGCAGAAGGAGGCAGUCGAGUGUGGAUCGGUCGGAAUGAUCCAGUUCCUAAAGAAAGAAAUGGGAAUUGACAGAUGUACCUGUGACAGAGGAGUUGGAGAGGAUGGAGAAGGAGCAGACGUGGGAUGUGUCUCCUGUAGUUCGGGGCAGUAGAGUCCGCUGUGUAGAAGAAGGAAGACCUUUAUUUUAAACCACAUACACCGUAACAUGUAGGAGGAUGUGGGCAGAGUAAAGAAGUAAAAAUAAAUAAAUAAAGGAACAUAUAUUUGCUUAAAACCAA